GGUAAUGCCGGAUGCUCCAGUUGAUCGCAUGGUCUUCUGGGAAAGCUUUCGCGGUAUGGGAUGGGGUCGCGUCCUAUCAGCUUGACGGCGGGGUAACGGCCCACCGUGGCUUCGACGGGUAGCCGGCCUGAGAGGGCGACCGGCCACAUUGGGACUGAGAUACGGCCCAGACUCCUACGGGAGGCAGCAGUGGGGAAUAUUGCACAAUGGGCGCAAGCCUGAUGCAGCGACGCCGCGUGAGGGAUGGAGGCCUUCGGGUUGUAAACCUCUUUUAUCGGGGAGCAAGCGAGAGUGAGUUUACCCGUUGAAUAAGCACCGGCUAACUACGUGCCAGCAGCCGCGGUAAUACGUAGGGUGCAAGCGUUAUCCGGAAUUAUUGGGCGUAAAGGGCUCGUAGGCGGUUCGUCGCGUCCGGUGUGAAAGUCCAUCGCUUAACGGUGGAUCCGCGCCGGGUACGGGCGGGCUUGAGUGCGGUAGGGGAGACUGGAAUUCCCGGUGUAACGGUGGAAUGUGUAGAUAUCGGGAAAGAACA
rnacentral:rRNA from 1 species